CUCAUGCUCACAGAGGGCCUGCUCUGGAAUAUUCCACAUCUGCUCUCACUCUGCCAUGGGCUCCUGGACUCUCUGCUGUGUGUCCCUUUGUAUCAUGGUAGCGAAGCACACAGAUGCUGGAGUUAUCCAGUCACCUCGGCAUAAGGUGACAGAGAUGGGAAAAGAAGUGACUCUGAGAUGCGAACCAAUUUCAGGCCAUACCUACCUCUUCUGGUACAGACAGACCAUGAUGCAGGGACUGGAGUUCCUGAUUUACUUUAACAACAAGGAUCCGACAGAUGAUUCAGGGAUGCCCAAGGAUCGAUUCUCAGCUAAGAUGCCUAACGCAUCAUUCUCCACUCUGAAGAUCCAGCCCUCAGAACCCAGGGACUCGGCUGUGUACUUCUGUGCCAGCAGUUUAGCCACAGCGCUGCAGAAUCACCCCUUUCCUGUGCAGAAACCCUAGUGUUUCCCCUUCUCCUUCUACCUCCCAACAGUCCUGGGCAAAGUCUUUUCUGUUCCUCCCUCCCCUGAGAAAAAAAGUGGUUUGAGGGUCUGACAAAGACAGAAAAUGAGAAGGUAUCAACAUAGGAAACCUUAGGUUGGUUUGAGGAUUAUGAGAUGGGUUUUGAGGAUUCCUCAGAUAUUCUCUCUGCUCAAAACACACAGGAGUAAGAUAAACCUUGGCUACCCACACUGGAGAUUUCCCCGUCCUCCUGCAUUUGCCAUCCCAUGAGAAUGGUGGGAGCUCCCGAGAAAGGCUACGUUUUCUGGACUACGCUUUCCCCUUCAUUCUCACCUAACUCUAAGUUGCAAACAGAAAUUUCCUUCACAAGUUUUCUAGAUUGUAAAAGAAAGUUCUU